UACGUAGGGCGCGAGCGUUGUCCGGAAUUAUUGGGCGUAAAGAGCUCGUAGGCGGUCUGUUACGUCCGCUGUGAAAACCCAGGGCUUAACCCUGGGCUUGCAGUGGAUACGGGCAGACUAGAGGUAGGUAGGGGAGAACUGGAAUUCCCGGUGUAGCGGUGAAAUGCGCAGAUAUCCAGGAGGAACACCGGUGGCGAAGGCGGGUCUCUGGGCCGAUACUGACGGCUGAGGAGCCGAAAGCGUGGGGAGCGAACAGG
rnacentral:rRNA from 1 species